rnacentral:rRNA from 1 species
UAGGGAAUCUUCCGCAAUGGGCGAAAGCCUGACGGAGCAACGCCGCGUGAGUGAUGAAGGUCUUAGGAUCGUAAAACUCUGUUAUUAGGGAAGAACAAACGUGUAAGUAACUGUGCACGUCUUGACGGUACCUAAUCAGAAAGCCACGGCUAACUACGUGCCAGCAGCCGCGGUAAUACGUAGGUGGCAAGCGUUAUCCGGAAUUAUUGGGCGUAAAGCGCGCGUAGGCGGUUUUUUAAGUCUGAGGUGAAAGCCCACGGCUCAACCGUGGAGGGUCAUUGGAAACUGGAAAACUUGAGUGCAGAAGAGGAAAGUGGAAUUCCAUGUGUAGCGGUGAAAUGCGCAGAGAUAUGGAGGAACACCAGUGGCGAAGGCGACUUUCUGGUCUGUAACUGACGCUGAUGUGCGAAAGCGUGGGGAUCAAACA